GCAUAACGCGAAGAACCUUACCAAGGCUUGACAUGCAUCUCUAAGCGCGUGAAAGCGCGUGACCCUUCGGGGGAUUUGCACAGGUGCUGCAUGGCCGUCGUCAGCUCGUGUCGUGAGAUGUUGGGUUAAGUCCCGCAACGAGCGCAACCCUUGUGACUAGUUGCCAGCACGUUAUGGUGGGAACUCUAGUCAGACUGCCCAGAUCAACUGGGAGGAAGGUGGGGACGACGUCAGGUCAGUAUGGCCCUUACGCCUUGGGCUGCACACGUACUACAAUGCCCAGCACAAUGAGAACCGAGACCGCGAGGUGGAGGAAAUCUAAAAAACUGGGCCCAGUUCGGAUUGGAGGCUGCAACUCGCCUCCAUGAAGUUGGAAUCGCUAGUAAUGGCGCAUCAUCUACGGCGCCGUGAAUACGUUCCCGGGUC
rnacentral:rRNA from 1 species